UAAGAAACUAGAAUGUGUGUUCACGCAACAUCAACUAGUAAACUUUUCAAGUCUGAAGGAAUGCAUUUCUGAUUCCAUAGAAAUAGAAUGCCAUGAUUGCCUAAAUAAUAGUGAACUGACCUUCCUAAGGCUCGCUGAGCGCUAAAUUCCAAGGUCAGCAAGUUGAUUACAACCGAAAUCUUAUCAUGCUCCCUAGAAAGUGCGAGUUGUUUGAUGAUACCUUCAAUUUGCAAGAUGAUACCUUUGAUCUACGGUCUUGAAUCAUUUCAAUAUAACCAAAUCCAUUCAUUAUUCACGAACAAUCAAGAAUCCUCUUCCCGGCUAAGUUGGGAAAUGGAUCGGGAUAAGCUUACCCUCACGAGCAUCGUUCUUUUGCUUCUCGUAGAUCUUGUCUCCAAGGUCGAGGAGGAUGCUAGUGGGGAUCAACGAUGAUGAGUCAACCAUAUUUUUUAUAUAUAUUAACUUAUUAAUAAAUACCCAGGGGCCCAUUUUUAAUAAGUUAAUAUAUAUAAAAAAUAUGGAUGACUCGUCGUUGAUCCUCGUCGGCGUCCUCCUCGACCUUGAAGACAAGAUCUACGAGAAGCAAAAGAAUGAUGCUCGUGAGAUAAGCCUAUCCAGAUCCAUUUCCCCACUUAUUCGGAAAGAGGAUUCUUGAUUGUUUGUGAAUAAUGAAUGGAUUUGGUUAUAUCGAAAUGAUUCGAGACUGCAUAUCGAAGGUAUCAUCCCACAAAUCGAAGGUAUCAUCAAACAGCUCGCACUUUCUAGCGAGCAUUAUAAGAUUUCGACUGUGAUCAACCUGCUAACCUUGGAAUUUGCUUGCUCACCGCAAGCGAACCUUAGGAAGGUCAGUUCACUAUUAUUUAGGCAAUCAUGACAUUCUAUUUCUAUGAAAUCAGAAAUGCAUUCCUUCGGACUUGAAAAGUUUACUAGUUGAUGUUGCGUGAACACACAUUCUAAUUUCUUACUUGUAAGGUAGGUUAAUAGGGCUUGCAGAAGUUACUUUCGGUCUGGGAACAAAUGGUGCUCGGCAUAUGAGAGUAAGACUUGCAUGUUAUAUUUUCAAAGUUAAAGUUUCUUAACUGGUAUAUUUUACACAAAUUUGUUGCUAACAUAUAUUUUUUUUUAAUAUCAAAGCAAAUUGUACUACCAGUACUUAAAUGUUCUACUGACCAAGAUAGCAGAGUUCAAUAUUAGAGCAUCCACAUCUAAAAGUUUUAUCUUAAACUUUGGAUAGGGUAGCUAAAAAACCUUUGCAUCAGCCACCCUAUCUAUUCCCAAAUUUUUGCAUUUAUGAAUAGUACAUUUCUAAAUUUAGGAAAUGACUUUCAUUCCCUAAACAUUCUAGAUGAGAGAGAAAAAAUAGGGAAGCUGAUAUAUGGUGUAAUGAAAAGUGGAUAUCCAAAUUUAAUAAAGUAACUUUUUAUCCUAAAUUAUACAUUUUGGCUAAGGAAGCUGGCGUGGAUGCUGAAACACUGUUUACUAUUGCAAAGAUUAUUAAUUAUGAAUAUAUUUGUCUUGUUUACCUCAUAGAAUUUUUUUUGACCUUCUUCAUUAAUGGUUUGUAGCAAUAAUUACUUUAUUAUAUCAUCGUGUAGGUUCUCAGAGAAUAUUUUAUCAUAUUCUUCAAAGGGAUAUUUGAUAAAGUUUGUAGGGUUCUAGUAAGUUCUAAUCCUAGUAUGAAAUUUAUAUCCAUAGUUUUGAAAUUGAUGUUUCAUUCUUAUUUCUAUAUUAGAAUUGUAGAAAUUUAUGCAUAAAUAAAAAAGGAACAACUGUCCUAAGAUAAAAAAUCUUGUUUCCUUAUCCCAUUUUAGAAAUAAAAUUUUAUAAAUUCAAAUAAUUAUUACUUAGGUUGAUGGAAGAAUAAAAUUGGGGUAUAAGUAAUAGUUUCGCCCACGGCCUUUAAAUAACAAGGACCGGCUGAGGGACCUGAUUUAGGUAGUCUCAAAUAGAAAGGCCCAACCUAGGCAUUUUCCGAUACUAAGGGCCUUAGGUAGAAUGCUUCUGUUUUGUACUUUCACGUACUGUAGCUUGGUUAGAAUUUUUGAACCUAAGGAUUUGUUUACUUUGGAUGGAAGAUAUACACAAAAGAUAGACAUAAAUAAUGGAGCUUUAUAUGUAACUCUGCAAUCGCUUCUCUUCUCCCUCUUGACGUUCUGUCCAAGUAAAUGAACCCUAGAUGACCUUACUUGUCCAGCAACCUAAAUGUGUGCUCUUACAGAAUUAUGUCAUACUUAGAUUAAACUUCUGCUAACUAAAGUAGGUUUUGUUAUAUUUUGUGUUUUUUAUUAUGUACUUCAUCUUUCUUUAUUUCUUUUAGAUUAAUCACAGUAUUUGCACUAAAUUUUCAUUAGAGUAGCUCUGAUUUGUGAAAUAUACUCUUUGAUUUCAAGUUGUUUGCCCUGAAUCUUUCAGAUUCUAGUUUAUCCUAUAUGGAAAAAAAGAAAUCUUUGCAAAUGACCAUUAACCUAGACCUCUUAUGUUUACCCAAUUGUAUUCGAGGGAUCUCUUUCUAUUUAUCCAACUCUCUCGCCAAGUAAAACAAGAUCGUACUAUGAUCCAUCAAGUUAUUGUGUUAAUGCUAGGUUGCUAAAAUAGAACUGCAACACUUGCUAUUUAUGAUAAAAAAAUAUAAAACAAUAGAAUUGUGACAACCACUAACAUAGAAUCAUAACAUUUGCUAAAAUUGAACUAUGACUUCUGUUAAAAUAUAACUGAGACAAUUUGUAUCUAGUUAUAAAAAUUAGAACGAUAGAACUAUGACGUUUGCCUAUCAUAGGCUCAUAGCAUCCUUUAAUUGGUGGUAACUCUUUCAUUUUAAAAAGUAUUCUAAAAAUAUUUUUUAGAAAUAAAACAUUUUAUGUAAAACAAAUAGAUCCUCGAGUACAAACCUUCUUUAUGGAUUUCUGCUUGAAGCACACUUAUCCUUUGAUAUUAGAAGUAUCCAUCGCACGCUACCAAGGUAUACAUUUUCAAAUGCCUCCAUUCAUCGACCGAUAUCAGGUACAUUUCUUUUUCUUGAUUAUUUAUGCACUUGUUUUCAUGUUAAGUGUAUCCUACUUGAUCUGUUAACGCACACAUUACACUGUAAUAUCGAACAACUUGCAUCCAAAUCUUCUUCUUCAGUUACCACACAUCAUACUUGCAAAUUCUCAUCUCUCUUCCUUUUCAUGCAGUGUAUUCUUUGGUUGCAUCUUAUUUCUAGGUCAGCUCUUGUCCAAAAGCAGGGUUUUGGUGGAUCAACAUGGUACAAAUUUCACUCAGAUGCCAUUAUUUUCCUGUCCAAAUUAAAUCUUUGUCUCCCAUCUCCAGUAUGCAUAUUGUGCUCUGCCCUAAAAUCUAAACCCAGAGGACUCGACACAGUUAACCCUUUUGACAAAAGUGACCAGAUGUGCAAUUGAUUGUUGUGGUAAACUUGUCAUGCUUUUGGGCAAAGCUCCUCUGAUUAGGGUUCAGGUGAUCAUGAGAGUCAAGAAGUAUUUUGAUCAUUAUAUAUAUAUAUAUUUUUGAUAAUUUAGGCGUCCUGACUAAUCUUGAAGCAUUUACCAGCAAAUGGUAGAAUGCCGGGCUAUGUUUAGUUCGACUUGUUUGGUGAACGAUGGAUGACAAUCAGAGUUGGUGUUUGACGACUCGUAGCUGGUCCAAAGGUUGGACAUGGUUUUGCAAUGUUCUUGACACCGAUAACUAGUUAUCGUAUAUGAUGUAAAGCAUUCAUCCAUGUUUAAUUUGGUCGAUCGAUUUUUGGUAAAAAAAAAAUGAGAGAUCCCUCUUUAAUCUGUUUACUUUGCCUCAUUCAUCCAAGUAAACAUCUCAUUUUCUCUCUU